rnacentral:tRNA from 1 species
GGAGAAGUGGCAGAGCGGUCGAAUGCGCUCCCCUGCUAAGGGAGUGUCCCGCAAGGGACCGGAGGUUCAAAUCCUCUCUUCUCCGCCA